rnacentral:rRNA from 1 species
GACGAACGCUGGCGGCGUGCUUAACACAUGCAAGUCGAACGAUGAAGCAUAGCUUGCUAGGUGGAUUAGUGGCGAACGGGUGAGUAAUACGUGAGUAACCUACCUUUAACUCUGGGAUAAGCCUGGGAAACUGGGUCUAAUACCGGAUACGACCAAUCUCCGCAUGGGGUGUUGGUGGAAAGCGUUAUGUAGUGGUUAUAGAUGGGCUCACGGCCUAUCAGCUUGUUGGUGAGGUAACGGCUCACCAAGGCGACGACGGGUAGCCGGCCUGAGAGGGUGACCGGCCACACUGGGACUGAGACACGGCCCAGACUCCUACGGGAGGCAGCAGUGGGGAAUAUUGCACAAUGGGCGCAAGCCUGAUGCAGCGACGCCGCGUGAGGGAUGACGGCCUUCGGGUUGUAAACCUCUGUUAGCAGGGAAGAAGAGAGAUUGACGGUACCUGCAGAGAAAGCGCCGGCUAACUACGUGCCAGCAGCCGCGGUAAUACGUAGGGCGCGAGCGUUGUCCGGAAUUAUUGGGCGUAAAGAGCUUGUAGGCGGUUUGUCGCGUCUGCUGUGAAAGGCCGGGGCUUAACUCCGUGUAUUGCAGUGGGUACGGGCAGACUAGAGUGCAGUAGGGGAGACUGGAAUUCCUGGUGUAGCGGUGGAAUGCGCAGAUAUCAGGAGGAACACCGAUGGCGAAGGCAGGUCUCUGGGCUGUAACUGACGCUGAGAAGCGAAAGCAUGGGGAGCGAACAGG